AGAGUUUGAUCCUGGCUCAGGAUGAACGCUAGCGGCAGGCUUAAUACAUGCAAGUCGAGGGGCAUCAAGGUACACGAAAGUGUAUUGUUGGCGACCGGCGGACGGGUGAGUAAUAGGUAGGUAACCUACCUCAUACUGAGGCAUAGCUGGGAGAAAUUCCAGGUAAUUCCUCAUGAGGUUAUAUGACACAUGUGAUAUAAUCAAAGGUAUCGCAAGGUACUGGUAUGAGAUGGGCUUACUGACCAUUAGCUAGUUGGUGAGAUAAGAGCUCACCAAGGCGAAGAUGGUUAGGGGUUUUGAGAGAGAGAUCCCCCACAUUGGAACUGAGAUACGGUCCAGACUCCUACGGGAGGCAGCAGUAGGGAAUAUUGGGCAAUGGGCGGAAGCCUGACCCAGCCAUGCCGCGUGAAGGAAGACGGCCUUAUGGGUUGUAAACUUCUUUACUAUGCGACUAACUAGAUUUACGAGAUAAUUCUAUAGAAUGUAGCAUAGCAAAAAGCACCGGCUAACUCCGUGCCAGCAGCCGCGGUAAUACGGAGGGUGCGAGCGUUAUUCGGAAUUACUGGGUUUAAAGGGUGCGUAGGCGGCUAAGUAAGUUGUCAUUGAAAGGCUACAGCUCAACUGUAGUAGUGGUGGCGAUACUGCUUAGCUAAGAACAUGGGAGGGGUACUUGGAAUGUGUGGUGUAGCGGUGAAAUGCGUAGAUAUCACACAGAACACCAGAGGCGAAGGCGGAGUACUAGACCAUAGUUGACGCUGAGGCACGAAAGCGUGGGGAUCAAACAGGAUUAGAUACCCUGGUAGUCCACGCCCUAACGAUGAUCACUAGAUAUGGCGACAACAGUCAGUGUCCAAGCGAAAGUGAUAAGUGAUCCACCUGGGGACUACG
rnacentral:rRNA from 1 species